ACCACCGCAUCUACCUUCUCCUUCUUCUCCUCUCUUUUAAACACUGAACCAGUAGAACACAGCCCCUGUCUCUCUCGUUCUUUCUCGUUCGCAGAACAAAUCAAGCUCAAGCUCCUAUUCUCUUCGUCUUAGGUGAGCUCCAGCACGCCGGCGCCACCUGCAGCAGCGUCUAUCCCCACCACCACCGCGCCUCUCUCUCUCCUUUUAUCCCCACUCAGUUCUGGCUCGCAUAUCUUCUCAGCGCCGCAGCCAUCAUCUCCUCCAGUCAAUGCUUCCAGGUUUUGGUUUCAAAAUUCUUUUAAUUUCUGUUAAGUUCAAU
rnacentral:lncRNA from 1 species